UAGGUUUAAGGAGAACCGAAUGGACGACGUCUGGCUGGUGGAUUUCUAUGCCCCGUGGUGUGGAUACUGUAAGAAGCUGGAGCCGGUCUGGCAGGAGGUCGGAGCAGAACUCACACACUCAGGGUCGCCGGUGCGAGUCGGGAAGAUGGACGCCACUGCAUACUCGGGAAUGGCCUCAGAGUUCGGCGUGCGAGGAUAUCCCACCAUUAAACUGUGAGUCUGUCCCCAACAUUAUUAACAUUUUAAAAUCUCUGUGUUCAAAGUUGAAGAGU